rnacentral:rRNA from 1 species
UACGGGGGGGGGCAAGCGUUGUUCGGAAUUAUUGGGCGUAAAGGGCGCGUAGGCGGCCUGGCAAGUGGAAGGUGAAAUCCCUCGGCUUAACCGAGGAACUGCCUCCCAAACUGCUUGGCUUGAGACCGGGAGAGGUGAGUGGAAUUCCCAGUGUAGCGGUGAAAUGCGUAGAUAUUGGGAGGAACACCAGUGGCGAAGGCGGCUCACUGGACCGGUACUGACGCUGAUGCGCGAAAGCGUGGGGAGCAAACGGG